AGAGUUUGAUCAUGGCUCAGGACGAACGCUGGCGGCACGCUUAACACAUGCAAGUCGAACGAGCGAUGAGAGCUUGCUCUCAAAGCGAGUGACGGACGGGUGAGUAACACGUGAGCAACCUGCCUUUAAGAGGGGAAUAACGUUUGGAAACGAACGCUAAUACCGCAUAAUACAGAAGAUUCGCAUGUUUCUUCUGUCAAAGAUUUAUCGCUUAAAGAUGGGCUCGCGUCUGAUUAGCUGGUUGGUGAGGUAACGGCCCACCAAGGCGACGAUCAGUAGCCGUACUGAGAGGUAGAACGGCCACAUUGGGACUGAGACACGGCCCAGACUCCUACGGGAGGCAGCAGUGGGGAAUAUUGCACAACGGAGGAAACUCUGAUGCAGCGAUGCCGCGUGAGGGAAGAAGGUUUUCGGAUUGUAAACCUCUGUCUUCAGGGACGAAAAUGACGGUACCCGAGGAGGAAGCUCCGGCUAACUACGUGCCAGCAGCCGCGGUAAUACGUAGGGAGCGAGCGUUGUCCGGAAUUACUGGGUGUAAAGGGAGCGUAGGCGGGGCUUUAAGUCAGGUGUGAAAUGUAUGGGCUCAACCCGUAAACUGCACUUGAAACUGAGGCUCUUGAGUGAAGUAGAGGCAGGCGGAAUUCCUAGUGUAGCGGUGAAAUGCGUAGAUAUUAGGAGGAACAUCAGUGGCGAAGGCGGCCUGCUGGGCUUUUACUGACGCUGAGGCUCGAAAGCGUGGGGAGCAAACAGGAUUAGAUACCCUGGUAGUCCACGCUGUAAACGAUGAUUACUAGGUGUGGGGGGACUGACCCCUUCCGUGCCGCAGUUCACACCAUAAGUAAU
rnacentral:rRNA from 1 species